rnacentral:lncRNA from 1 species
AUACACGCUGCUACAAUUGUAACUCGAAGAAAAAGAGAAACAGAAGAAUUACUAGUCAACAUUGUAACUCGAAGGAACAAAAAGCAGGCCAAUUUCAUUUUCAAUUCAAUAUCCUUGUUGAACAAAAAGCAGGCCAGUUCAAUUUCAUUUAACUUACGUAACAACAAAAUGAGUUAUCAUGACCUUGAAUUCAAUAUCCUUGUUGAACAAAAAACGAACUGUAUACAUCAAAAGAUUCUCCGUGACUUAGUUACUCCAACGAACAUGCAUGUCCUAUAGAUAAAUACGAUGUCUUUAGCGUGUUUUCUAGUAAUGCAGAACUAAUGAAUGAAUGCAAUUGAAUGACAGUACCUCUUGCAACAUCUAUCAAGAAACUAAUAUAAAUAUUACGAAGACCAGAAAUUCCCAAAAGCUGCUACUUCGAUUCAUUCUUUGAAGGUGUAGAGCUGUUAAGUUGCUGCUGUGCAUGUUGUGGAGGCUGAGACGAUUGUUGUUGUUGCUGCUGCUGCAAGUGAUGCAUGUUUAGCUGAGUUGACUGCUGUUGCUGCAACUGG